AAGCUCGUAGUUGAAUUUCGGGAUCGAUUUACUGGCCGUGCUUAUGGUACGUACUGGUUUUGUUGGUUCCUCCUUUCCGAAGAGCCGCGAUGUCAUUAAUUUGGUGUUGCGGGGAAUCGGGACUGUUACUUUGAAAAAAUUAGAGUGUUUAAAGCAGGCUAACGCUUGAAUACAUUAGCAUGGAAUAAUGAAAUAGGACGAUUGAUCCUAUUUUGUUGGUUUAUAGGAUCGACGUAAUGAUUAAUAGGGAUAGUUGGG
rnacentral:rRNA from 1 species